rnacentral:miRNA from 2 species
CAUCCCUUGCAUGGUGGAGGGUG